rnacentral:rRNA from 1 species
UGGGGAAUAUUGCGCAAUGGGCGAAAGCCUGACGCAGCGACGCCGCGUGAGGGAUGAAGGCCUUCGGGUCGUAAACCUCUGUCAGGAGGGAAGAAAUGCUGGUGGGCUAAUAUCCCGCCAGUUUGACGGUACCUCCGGAGGAAGCACCGGCUAACUCCGUGCCAGCAGCCGCGGUAAUACGGAGGGUGCGAGCGUUAAUCGGCAUCACUGGGCGUAAAGCGCACGUAGGCGGCCUUGUGUGUCAGGUGUGAAAGCCCUCGGCUUAACCGGGGAAUUGCACUUG